GAUGAAGAACGUAGCGAAAUGCGAUAAGUAAUGUGAAUUGCAGAAUUCAGUGAAUCAUCGAAUCUUUGAACGCACAUUGCGCCCGCCAGUAUUCUGGCGGGCAUGCCUGUUCGAGCGUCAUUUCAACCAUCAAGCCCCCGGCUUUUGUUGGGGACCUGCGGCUGCCGCAGGCCCUGAAAACCAGUGGCGGGCUCGCUAGUCACUCCGAGCGUAGUAAUACAUCUCGCUCAGGGCGUGCUGCGGGUUCCGGCCGUUAAAAAGCCUUAUUUACCCAAGGUUGACCUCGGAUCAGGUAGGAAGACCCGCUGAACUUAAGCAUAUCAAUAAGCGGAGGA
rnacentral:misc_RNA from 1 species